ACCGGCAGCCCGAUGAGAUGCAGGCAGCAGGAAGGAACACCAUCUCUCCAAGUGAAACCAGCUAUGAGCUCUGCCUGCCUCUGAGACUAGGGCCCUAAAAUUGCCUUGCCAGAAUGCUCCCCUGUGCCUUCCCAGCUACACUUCUGUUCUCAGAGAGGAAGACUGGUUUAUCAGUGUAGUCCUAGCCUUCGCUGUGGUCCAAGAUCUGUUGAACCAUGUGAUGGAGGAGAAGCCAUCAACCUUCCAAUCGUCACACCCAGAAGAGUAUGAUAAGAGCUGCCAAAUGACCCAGAGUCCCCAGGAUGUGUGCACUGGAGGGAUGAAGAGAGUUCAAGGUUGCUGUUCAAGGUCAUCACUCUUAAAACUGAAGGCUUUUGGGUUUUUUUUUUCCAGACCUCCCAAGGCUACUCUGGCACAACUAGAUCUCAGCUCUAUUCUGACCCCUUGUUGUCCCAAGGAACAGAGCCCAGGCAUCAAACCACUGGACAGUUUCCAGCCAAAUCUCUGGUAUUUUUGAAGUGUAUUUGUUAACUACUGCUAGAAGACAAAUGAUGUUUCAAAAACAGACACAUUUUCAGUGCCCAUCAUAUCUGUCAGAGCUGGGGCACUAGAAGAACAACACCUCAUGCUGUCCAGCUGUGGUAACAGGCAAAAACAUUUUGUAACGACAGCUUGUGCAGACUGGUCAAGUUACAGCUCUGUGCUGGAGAGCAAAGCCAGGCAUCCCAAAGGAAUCCUCUGAGCAAACAAGUCCCUCAUUCGGCCCCAGCUGUCAAAACAGGUCACCUAUCAGUCUGGCAUGUGUUACGAUGCCAUGAAGUUGUGAUUCUGUGCAAAGUCUUUACUGGAAAUGAAUACACCUGCAUGCUUUUAUUUCUUCUCAGAAAGUGUUAAUUCACACAGUAAUCACUGCAAUAUUAACUUUGUGUUCUGCCAACAAGAAACUUAUAACUAAAAGAAAUAAUUCGCUGAUGUCAUCUUCCUUCUUCCACUGUGCCUUGCAUGCUAUCAUAACUUGCAAUACAAUUACGACAACAACAAUUAUUUCUGAGUAAGUUUUCUAAGCAACAAAGAUAAAAGCACCACUGAUAAGUAGAAGAAAAAUGAGGAAACGGCAGAGCCACAGUUCUGCUUAACUCCAGUGAGAGUUUUACAGCUUGUGCGGAAAGAACGACAAGAAAAAAAUCCAGAUCAAGACAACAACAACAACAACAAAACACCCACAAAAGGAAAUGACAAACAGAGAAGACUUUGUUAGGGUGUUCGGUUACGAACAGUACAAACUGCUAUAGGAAGAAGUAUUUGCAUAGACAUAGCAAACUGACAUUGAAAAUGCUGUGUAAAUUCAAAACAUGCAUAUCUGUGUUACCUUUUAGUUCUGAAAUAAAAGAGUUACGAUAUUGUUGAAA